AGUUACCUUAUAUCUAGUGCAGUGCCAACACGCAACAGGAGCAAGUUAUGACAAAGGCAAAUGCAUUAUGGGCUAACGAGGUAGAAGACCAAGAUUAUGAUGCCAUUUACGUUGAGCUUCUUAGGAAGAUGAAGAAGAGAAAGCAAAUUCCCGGAGCCGGUUAGGCACUGAGCAUUUACUUCCCAUAUACUACUAGUUCGUCGUGUGUGGAGUUGGAGAAGCAAAAUGCAGCAGAGUGAGAUAAGCAAAAUGCAGACUUGCGCGUGGAGCUAGAGAAGAAAUAUGCGGAGUUGCUAGACUAGUUCAAGAAUCUUAGUUAACAAGUUUACGAAAUGAGAAGUCAAAAUAUAUAUGGUCCUAUAAAAAUGUAAAACAUUAUUAUUAAUUUGAUGUAAAUUUUGAA